rnacentral:rRNA from 1 species
GGUAUAGCCGCCCGAAAGGGUGGAUAAUCCCGGAUAACGCUGCGAUGUCGCAUGGCGUUGCAGCCAAAGGUUUACUCCGCUCGGGGAGCGGAUCGGGCCUAUCAGCUUGUUGGUGAGGUACGGUCACCAAGCGACACGGUAGCGGCUGAAGGUGAACGGCCACACUGGGACUGAACACGCCAACCCUACGGGAGCACAUGCUGAAUCAUUCACAAUGGGCGCAAGCCUGAUGAUGCGACGCCGCGUGGAGGAUGAAGGCUUUCGGGUUGUAAACUCCUGUCAGGGAUUAGGAAUUUUGACCAAUCCCAGAGGAAGCACCGGCUAAAUUNCGUGCCAGACAGCCCGCGGUAGCACGAAUGGUGCAAGCGUUGUUCGGAAUCACUGGGCAUAAAGAGUGCGUAGGCGGCGCGGUAAGUCAACUGUGAAAGCCCCCGGCUCAACCGGGGAAUUGCAGCUGAUACUGCCGUGCUUGAGGAUGCGAGGGGUGAGCGGAAUUCCAGGUGUAGCGGUGAAAUGCGUAGAUAUCUGGGAGAACGCCGGAGGCGAAGGCGGCUCACUGGCGCAUACCUGACGCUGAGGCACGAAAGCGUGGGGAGCAAACAGGAUUAGAUACCCUGGUAGUCCACGCAGUAAACGAUGGGUACUAGGUGGAGGGGAACACCGAUUCACUCUCCGCCGUAGCUAACGCGCUAAGUACCCCGCCUGGGGAGUAUGGUCGCAAGGCUAAAACUCAAAGGAAUUGACGGGGGCUCACACAAGCGGUGGAGGAUGUUGUUCAAUUCGAAGCAACGCGAAGAACCUUACCUGGGCUUGACAUGCUGGUGGUACAACCCCGAAAGGGUGCGGACCCGGGUAAAACCGGGAGCCAGCACAGGUGCUGCAUGGCUGUCGUCAGCUCGUGUCGUGAGAUGUCGGGUUAAGUCCCUUAACGAGCGAAACCCUUGUCGCCAGUUGCUACCGGGUUAUGCCGGGCACUCUGACGAGACUGCCGGUGUCAAACCGGAGGAAGGUGGGGACGACGUCAAGUCAUCAUGGUCCUUACGUCCAGGGCUACAAACGUCCUACAAUGGCCGGUACAAAGAGAAGCAAUGCCGCGAGGCGGAGCCAAUCUCCAAAGCCGGCCCUAGUUCAGAUUGGAGGCUGCAAUUCGCCUCCAUGAAGGUGGAAUCGCUAGUAACCGGAGAUCAGCAAUGCUUCGGUGAAUAUGUUCCUGAGCAUUGUACACACCGCCCGUCAAGCCACCCAAGUUGGGAGCACCCGAAGUCCGGCGCCAAGAGCCGGCCGAAGGUGAGUCCGAUGAGGGGGACUAAGUCGUAACAAG